UACGUAGGGUGCAAGCGUUGUCCGGAAUUAUUGGGCGUAAAGAGCUCGUAGGCGGUCUGUUGCGUCGGCUGUGAAAACCCGGAGCUCAACUCCGGGCGUGCAUCCGAUACUGCCCGACUAGAGGUAGGUAGGGGAGAAUGGAAUUCCCGGUGUAGCGGUGAAAUGCGCAGAUAUCGGGAGGAACACCGGUGGCGAAGGCGGUUCUCUGGGCCUUACCCUGGACGCUGAGGAGCGAAAGCGUGGGGAGCGAACAGG
rnacentral:rRNA from 1 species